UACGUAGGGUGCGAGCGUUGUCCGGAAUUACUGGGCGUAAAGAGCUCGUAGGUGGUUUGUCGCGUUGUUCGUGAAAACUCACAGCUCAACUGUGGGCGUGCGGGCGAUACGGGCAGACUGGAGUACUGCAGGGGAGACUGGAAUUCCUGGUGUAGCGGUGGAAUGCGCAGAUAUCAGGAGGAAUACCAGCGGCGAAGGCGGCCUUCUGGACGGUGACUGACGCUGAGACGCGAAAGCGUGGGGAGCAAACAGG
rnacentral:rRNA from 1 species